UUUUUCCUUAAGUGCUGCUCAAUGGAAAUUUAUUUUUUUUUUGGAUCAUUGCAAUAUUUUUUUAGUAAGAAAAAUUUUGUCAUGUUUUUAAUCCAACGCUACUUUUUUUUUUUUAACUCAGCCACUGCGCGCCGACAUUUUAAAUCUGCCUCAACUGUUUGCUUCCUUCCGCCGUGAUAAGUUUCUCCUUCCUUGAGUCUGUGGUGUGUACUGGGAUGCGAAAGGCUCUAGGUGUCAGAUGCCUCCCUUCAUUCUUCAGGCUGCAAGCUUCCAGGUCAAAGAAGAGUCAUCCUCCUUUAAGUGCCAAGAAGAGGCCUUCUACCUUCUGGUGCAAGAAGACAUUGAACAAGAAUUGGAAGCUAAAGCUACCAAAGAAGUUGAAAGAAAACUAAGCAGGGAUUUAGUGCAAGAAGAGGAAGAACAGUUGAUGGAAGAAAGGAAAAAGAGAAAAGAAGACAAGAAAAAGAAGGAAGCUGCUCAAAAAAAGGUAUGUGGAUCAUUUAAGUUAAAAAAAAUAGGAUUUGGCUUUUGUUUUUUUUCUCAGACUAAUUUUGCUUAUUGUAAUAUAGCUGUUAAAGAUAAGCCCUUUUUUUUUUUUUUUUAAAUCUCAUUAUAGCACUUCCAAAGCACAAUGCAAUCAUCAAGUAACUGUCUUACUGAACAUCUUUACUGAUCUUGCAGGCAUAGUUUUUUCAAAGCUAAAAAUCUUGUUUAGAUAUCCAUUUAGCUCACAGAUCUUCAGUUGAUAGGGACGUUUCUGGAUGCAAGCCCAUGCAUACACAAUGUGAAGACUGACAUAGUAUAAAAUGUUUUUUAAAAUAGUUGUUUUUAGCUGUUAGCCUUAUUUUAAUACAUCUGAUUAGCCUUCUGUGAUUAGUGUAACUCUUCAUCACACAUGCUUUAUCAAAGAUGGAUAAAAUUAAAACAUUGGCAGCAGGGAGUGGGGUUUAAGACUAGUUAUGGUAAAGUGCUUUGAAGAUAUAAGAGCAUUGAGUGAAUACUAAGAAUUAUUCCCAAGACAUUUUUAAAGAAAAAAUACAAAAUUACUUUUUGGGUAAUGUUAAAACAGUAUCCGUCAGUCAUUAGUAUUUAACAUUGUAGAUGCCCUGGUUGAGAGGAGCCCAUAAAUCUGGCUAAGAACAUAUCUCCAUUUCAGACUUCCAAUUCCUGUAAGGAGACAUCUAAAAUAAGCCUAGUUCUCAAUUUUUUCUUGAUCCUCCUUAGCAAUGUAAAAUGUUCAGUUCAUAUGCAGAAAGAUGGCUAGUCAUUUCUGCAACCCAGACCUCUUGUCAAAAUAAAAGGGUUUAUCUCAUUUACA
rnacentral:lncRNA from 1 species